GGAUAGAUGGCUGAGUGGUUAAAGGCACCAAUUUUGAAAAUUGGCAUGAAUGUUCAUCGCAGGUUCGAAUCCUGCUCUGUCUA
rnacentral:tRNA from 1 species